rnacentral:pre_miRNA from 1 species
AUAAUACUCCCUCAGUCCGAAAUUACUUGUCAUCAAAAUGGAUGUGUCUAGAACUAAAAUACAUCUAGAUACAUCCAUUUCAAUGACAAGUAUUUUCGGACGGAGGGAGUACUAG